rnacentral:lncRNA from 1 species
GGAUGGAACAGUUAUUUGGAGCAGUUAUUUUCCCACUUUGCUGCUAGCAUUGGAAAAGGUCGUGUUUUCUGCAUUACCCAAGCAUCUCACAGUUUUGGUGUGUUUCAGGUUCUUGCAAAUCAGAUAAACAGUGGUGUAACUAUCUGUCUUCAGUUGUGCUCUGCAGGGAGAAGGGAUCUUCAAACAGAAGAAAUACGUUCUGUAGAAAAUGGGAAGCAACCUGGGAUGUCUUCCAAGGAUCAGUGCCUGAAAUUGAAGCCAGCUGAUGACUGGAGGAGAGUUCCCAAUAACCCGAAAUCCCCCUCAUUAACCUUGGCUUGAGGGGGAAUUGCUGGACUGUAACAAGCAAUGAGGACCCGAGCUUAGAGUCUUCAGAGCUGAAAUUAGCUAUGGGGUAUUGAACAUUGAAGUGGAAGAGGGAGGUGGAAAACUAGAAGAGCAACUGCUUGAAAAUUGCACCAAAGGCCUCUUCCCAAAGAGAAAUAUGCAGGACUUCUUUGGUUUAAGGUCACUCAUCAGCAAGACCCCCAGCUGGGAUGAAGAAACGAGAGGCCAAGGCUUCUGGCAUCCUGCUGCAAUGUGACGUAAAGAGGAGAUGCCACAAGCAGGAAAUCCUCGUCUCAGAGGAAGGAGCUGGUUUUACUGAGGCAGGUGCCCCUAGGAGCUUGAAGGGCUACUGGAAGCAAGUGAAGGCUGCCCUGCCUCAAGGAGAUGAAGUUUCAGGUCGGCACCACCAAGAUGUCUGUGUGCCUUGGCUGAUGAGGAUAACUACACGCAAGGCAAGCUAUCUGAAUCUGACAGCAAAGACCACGUUUCCCCUUAAUGCACCGUGCUGUGGGAAGUGUUUACUGCUGCUGCUCUUACAGCGCAGAAAACCAGAGCAGCUGGGAUGCAGCAAGCUCACAAUGAGGAAAAGCAGAAAGAAGAAUGACCCCGCGCCACUGUUACAAGCAGCUUCCUGAAAGCAGCUUGCGGCCAGGAAAACUGCUGGAUGAAAUCCCUCAGAGGAGGAGAAAGUCCAGGGGGUCGAUGACUCCACCACCUCCCUGCGACAGAGGGACAAAAGGAGAAGAAUGGACAAAUGCCU